GAUGAACGCUGGCGGCGUGCCUAAUACAUGCAAGUCGAGCGAACGGACGAGAAGCUUGCUUCUCUGAUGUUAGCGGCGGACGGGUGAGUAACACGUGGAUAACCUACCUAUAAGACUGGGAUAACUUCGGGAAACCGGAGCUAAUACCGGAUGAUAUUUUGAACCGCAUGGUUCAAAAGUGAAAGACGGUCUUGCUGUCACUUAUAGAUGGAUCCGCGCUGCAUUAGCUAGUUGGUAAGGUAACGGCUUACCAAGGCAACGAUGCAUAGCCGACCUGAGAGGGUGAUCGGCCACACUGGAACUGAGACACGGUCCAGACUCCUACGGGCGGCAGCAGUAGGGAAUCUUCCGCAAUGGGCGAAAGCCUGACGGAGCAACGCCGCGUGAGUGAUGAAGGUCUUCGGAUCGUAAAACUCUGUUAUUAGGGAAGAACAUAUGUGUAAGUAACUGUGCACAUCUUGACGGUACCUAAUCAGAAAGCCACGGCUAACUACGUG
rnacentral:rRNA from 1 species